GCCCACAGGGAAGGUACACACCUUGAGUCUGGCGCCUUAGACCACUCGGCCAUCCUGACACGCUGCAAACUGCUUACUCAUACAGAGCCUGCUUCCUGCGGCAGCCUGCUGCGCUGCCCCGCCUCACGGUCCGGGCGGGCUGUCGCUGGAUCCGCCCGGCCAGGGCAAAGGAGAACCGCCUGUCGGGCCCCGGCCGCCAGCCGCGGAGCUCUUGUAGGACACCGGGCACUCCGGAGUGCCCAACCUCGCUCUCCCGGGCGAAGCCGGAAAUCGAGCCGAAUCUCCAGAAGCAAGGACAAUCCCGCUAGAAAACCAGAGGGGUUAGUGACCACCCGGCCCAGCAAAGGAGGGAAACUAUAGCAGCAAAGGCAAAGAGAAAGCGCCAGGAUGCAGCCCACCCGUGGUACCCGCCACUGCCAGAUCCCGGGUUCCCGCCGCACAUUCCUGGCCCUAGCUGCGAAAACUGGCUAGACGAGUGAAUACGAGGAAAGCACUGGAAUGUACGCUUGGCACAGGGCAAUGCCCCUGACUGGUUCUAACUCCACUCGGCUGCCUUUUUGCUGUUUCACCUCCUGGAAGUAGAUGCACAAGUACAAGAUAGCAAUGCCCUGGGACUUAAGGUGUCUUCUUACCUUGCUGUAGGGACUGGGUGAAGUGGAGAUGAUUGGCAGAGCAAGAAUUGGGGGCAGGCUGAGGAGGAGGUGGUACCAGGCUAGGGCAGGGUAGGAGUUACGGGGUGGAGGAUGGAACAAUAAUGAAGAGUCAGGGUCAUCUGAUUUAGAGGAGUCUUUUCUUCCUGCUCAUGGAACUUUGUCUCCUUAGUGCCUCAGGGUCCUUCCCCCAAGCUUCCCAGUUGUUUCCCUGCUCUCCUUUGACAUUCCUUUUCCCCUGUCCUGCCCACCCCCAAGACAAGAUUCCUUCAAGAUAAACUGAGCUUUAAUAGAUCAGCAAGGCCCAGACCCUCAGCUAGUAAUGGCUUUGGAGAUCCUGGAGAACUCACCAGCAUCACAUCUGCUAUCUCCUAGGCUCCAAUAUAUGGUGUUGGCAGGGAGUAGGUGACUCAGUAGGUCUAGAUGCUCGGGUUACGAAGGGGGUCUUAUAACAGCUUCUAAAAAGCCUCCCACAGUGCUCUGCCAUCUCUCCUCCUCUCUCCGUGUUGGACUGCAGUGGUGCACAUGGCAAGGGAGAAAAUGUUUCCUGCAAGCCAUUCCCCAUGACCACCCCCAUAUCACUGUUCAUUCUGUUGUCAUGACCUUAAAGUGCUCCAAGAAAAUACAGACUUAUUUUCCAGUCUCAGUGGAGAUGUGAACCACCUCACUUGUCUCCAACAAUUUUCUUGUAUGCCCCUUGAACACCAUCCACUUCUUGCUACCAAGCAACUUUCAGAUCCCAUCUCCUUUUCCCAGUGUCCACCAAGAGCUCAGUUUUGCUUUCUAGUCUGAAAUUACUGCCUUCAGAAUAUCAAGACUUCAGUUAAUAAACUUGAAAUAGUCAUCUCAA